GGAAGUGCCAUGCUCCCACAGCAAGGAGAAAGGGAUGAGAGCAAAUAAAAGGACGAGAAGACGGAAAGAAAAAAGACCAAGGCUCUCUCUUCGUAAUUUUGCUUGAUGAUUCUCUGCAAUCAGUGCUCUCAUCCUAUGACAGUUAAUGAGAUUAACCUUGAGACAUACAGAGAUGGAGCUGACUGACAAGUUGCCUUUUUCACCUUCCCACCAAUCACUCAAAUCACGUGUAUUCACAAAUGCAUCAAACAGAAAUAAAUAUGU